rnacentral:pre_miRNA from 1 species
AGGAGGAACAGCCCCAGUGGCGGGGCAGCUCUGGAAACGUGGAGUCAGCUCCGGAGCUCUCCGUCUGCAGGGCCUGGAGGCUCCGGGCGAGG